AACGGUUGCGGACAAGGCCGGUGCCGGUUGGCAGGAUAGGGACGGAAACGGGACUCGAUAUGAUUAAACAUAAUGCUGCCCACUGGAACAAUGCGGAUGCACUAGUGACACUAAUUCGCAGCAUGAUUGGCCUUCAUGUCUACUGGGUGACGUGAGUAUACUACCUUCCAAAGUUAGCCGGUUUUGUCGUCAAGUGCGCUGGUCGUUCGACCGAAUUACCAGCGUGCAGGUAGUAUGGGUGACGGGCAUCCUUAACAAUCCGGAAAGGUGAGACCCCUUGUAUCGUACCAGGCGACGAUACAUGCUCAAUGGCGUCUCGCCGUGUCGCUAGCCAAAUGCCUCGUCAUCUAAUUAGUGACGCGCAUGAAUGGAUGAACGAGAUUCCCACUGUCCCUACCUGCUAUCUAGCGAAACCACAGCCAAGGGAACGGGCUUGGCAGAAUCAGCGGGGAAAGAAGACCCUGUUGAGAUUUACCCCAAAAUGUUCGUGAAGCUGAAGAAAGCUGGAGGUGGAGUGUUGCAUAUGGGCUGCACCCAUGGUGUUGUAUACCAUAACAGGGAAAUAAAAAUAUUAACACAACUUUUCAACAUUAGGACAAAAUCUCACAUCUCUAUUCUGUCGAGAAGAGAGACUCCACUGUCAUCGCAAAAAUCUCUCACUACACCUCAUUGGAACUACGUGACCUGAAAAGCGUUUGCCCACCUGAUCUCUUGAAAGACACCGGUAUUUUGAUGCCAUGGCUAACUGAUAAUGCAGUAAAUUGUAGGGUUGCACAAAUUGCAGCAGAGACCCAGAAUGUAAGUAAUCACUUGAGAACAUAAACUUUUUUUCACACUACUAUUCAGAAACGUAAUUAAGUAUUCCUAUUGUGCGAUUUAUUCAACAUACAGGUUAUGUGACAGAUGUAGCGCACUUCCUUUAUACAAUAUACAUGUAAUUUUGUUCUCUCUUUAGUGUAUAGCCUUGACGACUGACACAUUCAUUUUGUGGCAUAGAGACUGGCUUGCUUCAAAAACAGUUUCAGAUUCUCAUUUGAAAAUUCUUGAGGUACUGUACAAUUUGCAAAAUAAAUAUAUAUUAAGCUCUCCUGCAUGUUUAUACAUGUAAUGGCACAGUAUGUGUUUCCUAUUUCUUUCAUUACAGUAUGAUGCACAGAAAAUUCUGUUUCCAAGAAUUGUUGGUGGCCAGACACCAGAGAGAGGAUGCCACUUCAUUCUUUGGGUUAGUUCAAAUCGAGGAGUGUUAAUCACAUGAUGUAGAAAUUUGAUAAUAAAGAGACUGUACAGUGAAGUUAAAAUUUUGUAAAUAAGUAAAUUUAU